UGGGGGAUAUUGCACAAUGGAGGAAACUCUGAUGCAGCAACGCCGCGUGAAGGAUGAAGGUCUUCGGAUUGUAAACUUUUGUACUUGGGGACGAUAAUGACGGUACCCAAGCAGCAAGCUCCGGCUAACUACGUGCCAGCAGCCGCGGUAAUACGUAGGGAGCAAGCGUUGUCCGGAUUUACUGGGUGUAAAGGGUGCGUAGGCGGCUAUGCAAGUCAGUUGUGAAAACUAUGGGCUCAACCCAUAGCCUGCAAUUGAAACUGCGUGGCUUGAGUGAAGUAGAGGUAGGUGGAAUUCCCGGUGUAGCGGUGAAAUGCGUAGAGAUCG
rnacentral:rRNA from 1 species